rnacentral:rRNA from 1 species
UAGGGAAUCUUCGGCAAUGGACGAAAGUCUGACCGAGCAACGCCGCGUGAGUGAAGAAGGUUUUCGGAUCGUAAAACUCUGUUGGUAGAGAAGAACGUUGGUGAGAGUGGAAAGCUCAUCAAGUGACGGUAACUACCCAGAAAGGGACGGCUAACUACGUGCCAGCAGCCGCGGUAAUACGUAGGUCCCGAGCGUUGUCCGGAUUUAUUGGGCGUAAAGCGAGCGCAGGUGGUUUAUUAAGUCUGGUGUAAAAGGCAGUGGCUCAACCAUUGUAUGCAUUGGAAACUGGUAGACUUGAGUGCAGGAGAGGAGAGUGGAAUUCCAUGUGUAGCGGUGAAAUGCGUAGAUAUAUGGAGGAACACCGGUGGCGAAAGCGGCUCUCUGGCCUGUAACUGACACUGAGGCUCGAAAGCGUGGGGAGCAAACAGGAUUAGAUGCCCUGGUAGUCCACGCCGUAAACGAUGAGUGCUAGAUGUAGGGAGCUAUAAGUUCUCUGUAUCGCAGCUAACGCAAUAAGCACUCCGCCUGGGGAGUACGACCGC